rnacentral:rRNA from 1 species
AGCAGCCGCGGUAAUUCCAGCUCCAAUAGCGUAUAUUAAAGUUGUUGCAGUUAAAAAGCUCGUAGUUGAAUUUCGGGAUCAAUAUUUCGGUCAUGCCGUUGGUAUGCACUGUUAUCAUUGAUUUCUCACCUUCUAAAGAACCGUAAUGCCAUUAAUUUGGUGUUACGGGGAAUUAGGACUGUUACCUUGAAAAAAUUAGAGUGUUUAAAGCAGGCUCACGCUUGAAUACAUUAGCAUGGAAUAAUGAAAUAGGACGUUUGAUUUUAUUUUGUUGGUUUCUAGGAUCGACGUAAUGAUUAAUAGGGAUAGUUGGGGGCAUUAGUAUUCAAUUGUCAGAGGUGAAAUUCUUGGAUUUAUUGAAGACUAACUACUGCGAAAGCAUUUGCCAAGGAUGUUUUCAUUAAUCAAGAACGAAAGUUAGGGAUCGAAGACGAUCAGAUACCGUCGUAGUCUUAACCAUAAACUAUGCCGACUAGGGAUCGGAUGAUGUUAAUUUUUAUGUACUCAUUCGGCG